rnacentral:rRNA from 1 species
GACGUAGGGUGCAAGCGUUGUCCGGAUUUAUUGGGCGUAAAGAGCUCGUAGGCGGUCUGUCGCGUCGGCUGUGAAAACCCGAGGCUCAACCUCGGGCCUGCAGUCGAUACGGGCAAACUAGAGUACUGCAGGGGAGACUGGAAUUCCUGGUGUAGCGGUGAAAUGCGCAGAUAUCAGGAGGAACACCGGUGGCGAAGGCGGGUCUCUGGGCAGUAACUGACGCUGAGGAGCGAAAGUGUGGGGGAGCGAACAGG